rnacentral:lncRNA from 1 species
CCGUGAGCCGAGAUCACGCCACUGUGCUCCAGCCUGGGUGACAGAGUGAGACUCCGUCGCGAAAAAAAAAAAAAGAUAAAGGAGGAGAGGGUUUUUUUUUUCCAUUUUAUGAAUCUUGACAAAGCAGAUUCUGAUAGAUAGGAAGAAGCAAAAGGAGCUCUUCCCUGCUCUGAGGUAUAUGAUACUAAACUGCCUUAGAUUUGCUCAGCUAGUUUAUUGUCUGAGAAUGCCGUACAAUGAUUUGGUGCCCCUCUUGAGAUCCCAGGGUGAAUAGAGAAGUUGAAAGGAUGUGUUCAGGGAGACAAGUAAUAAAUAGGCUUUUUUUUUUUUGGUCUAGGUGUGGGAAUGUCAAAACUAUCAUCACUUGCUUUCAGCAGCCCUGGUGUGUUGUUUCAUGUCAGUGACAGAUAUUCUGGAAUGCAUUUGAUUUGUGCAAAGAUGUUUCUCAACUUUGACUACUAGGAAUUAAUGUUUAACUUUGUCCUUUUCUAAAGAGAGUUAUUUGUAAGGCAGGAUUGGCCUUCAAUACCUUAAGAGGCAAAAAAUUGGUGUCAAGAAAAGUUCUAACUAAGAGCAUGAAAACUGGGGAAAGCAAAUGUUCUUAAGGUGAUUUUUAUAUGCUUGGCAUUGAAUUUUCCUUUUCCUCAAAAUACAAGUAUUCCAUAUUCAUUUCAGUGUAAUUUAGAACAAAAAUGGUAUUAUCUGUGUAAGAAUUGUUAUUGUCAGUCAAGUACUGAAAGUUCAAUAAUAGGCCCUUAAAAGGCAUUAUGUCAAGCAGGAGGCAAAUGUAUGGUAAGGAUCUCAGAAUUGCUUCACUGGAGUUGUUAUUUGAAAUUUCCAAAAGGAUAACACCAUCAAAACACUGCCUUAGGCUGCUUCUAGGAGGAAACUUCAACUUAUUCACUUAACUUUAGACACUUUUUGGAAGGUUGUGUCAAGUGUGAGUAUUUUGUGAUCCUUUCUCCCCUCACCCUCCUCCUCUUUACAUCCAUAUUUUCAGAAACAAACACAGUUAUCCUUGGAAAACAUAAUUUUUCUUCUUACAUAUUUUCUUAUUGAUGUACUGGAAAUUAUGAUUUUUGACCCGAGUCUACCUUAAAAUAUUUGGCAUUCACGGUUCCACUACACUGAACUUCAUUCACCUAAAUGUACUUUAUUACAUUCGGCAAAACUUAAAAGAUUUAUCUUGUUUUGGAAAAUUAAAUGAGAUAACUGCAUGUGAAGUACUAAUACUGUGCACAGAAUAAGCUUUUAAGGAAUGAUGGCAGCAGUUGUACUUAUAAGACAUAGAGUCAUAUAAAUUCAGUACUUUCUCUAAAUAACCUUCCAUUUUUAUAUUUGUGUAAUCAUGUCUUUUUCUUUGGAAGUUGGAUGCAAAUCAACUUAUACAAAACUUUCCAAAGUUUCACUUGUUUUACAUACAACCUUCAUGAUGUUUCCCAUGUUUUUCUAUAACUGUACUAUAAAUUACUAAACAUUUUUCUUUAAAGCAGACUGAUUUUAAGUUGAAUUUGCUCAAAAGAAAUAGUAUCUCAUUACUUUCAAUGGAAAACCAGUAUCAUUUGCCAUAAAUACAAAAUGACUAUGAGCAAAAGUUCAUAAAGCAAAGGAACAAAAUUCUGCCAAGAUACUAUUAUCUACCAAGAGUCAAAACUGUAGGUCUGCACCCUGCUCUCUGUUAGAAAGGGAGAAUCACAAAUGUUAGAAUAGUGUUAAAAACUCCAUGGAAACUUUUCUGGGCUUAAAGGAACUGAAUGGCAUUUUCAUACCUUUCUAAUGCUGUGAUUUAAUAUUUCCUGGUGCCUUGUCAGUGCCACCUGAAAUCAUGAUCUUAUGAUGUGCUUCCUCUUUGGAAAAAACUCUAAAAUAGUAACACUAAAAUCAAGAACAUUUUGUUUAUAGGACUCCUUUUUUUAAGAUGUGAAAGCCAGCCAGUCAAUUCCUGUUCUUAAGUAUAUUCUUAGCUAGGGAGGUUGCUUAAGAUUUUGUUUAUAAGACUUUCACUAAAAUCAGAAUUGGGUCAUCGCACCCAGUGCUUUAGUUUUGGAAAUCUGAGUUUGAAAUAAAGGAUAAAUGACAUAAAUUAAUGGAGUAAAAUUAAUGUUGUGAUAAUAUUAAAUAAAGCUAAUGCCUUUUGCACCUGGAGGGCUAUGCAGAUGGCAGGCAUACCUAAUUAUGCACCCUGCUUGCCUUUAAGUAUACUGAUAGAAAUCUCUCAACUGAGUAUAAAAUAUGUUCAUUCACUGGCUCCAGAAAAGUUUGAGUAAGGCAACACAAUCCACAAAAAGCCUAACAUGCUUAUUUUUUAGUGGAAAGAAAUACAAUUCUAUAAGUUAAAAUGAAAUAAUUGAAUACUUAUUUUUAAAACAAGUUAUUACUACUGUUGGAUUUGUUCUUUCUGUGAAUAUCAAAAUAUAUGCCUGUCAUUCCCAUUAGAAAAAGAUGAUUCUCAAACUAGCAAGGAAGUACUUAAAUGUAAGUUUAUAUUUUUACAGACUGCACACAAAGAGAAUAAUUUACUAGUGGAAUUCUAAAUAAAUUGAUUUGCUUUCUUUACGUAUAAAUCGGAUUGGUUAAUCAUUGCUGAGAUAUUUAUAAACUUGUUCAAUUCUUUAAGAUGUAACUUCUCUAGAAAAUAUUUUGCUUUAGUUAAAAAUGUAGAUAUUUUGCUACAGAUAUUUCAGAAACGUGACUGAGCUUUAAAAACCUUACUAUGAGUUCUCUUCACUUAAGGAAUGUAUUCCCAUGAACUUCAUUUUGUUGCAUUUGGAUACCUAUGCAAUUAAAAGUAUAACCAGCAACUACUGCUGUUAGCUUCAGAAUGAUUUUUAAAAUCCUAUUUCUAAUAUUUGUUACACUUUCCUAUUACAUUUCUUAUAAAUACACAUGUAUUUAUUACCUACAUUUUUAAAAAUAAAG